rnacentral:rRNA from 1 species
GAUGAACGCUGGCGGCGUGCCUAAUACAUGCAAGUCGAGCGAACAGACGAGGAGCUUGCUCCUCUGACGUUAGCGGCGGACGGGUGAGUAACACGUGGAUAACCUACCUAUAAGACUGGGAUAACUUCGGGAAACCGGAGCUACUACCGGCUAAUAUAUUGAACCGCAUGGUUCAAUAGUGAAAGACGGUUUUGCUGUCACUUAUAGAUGGAUCCGCGCCGCAUUAGCUAGUUGGUAAGGUAACGGCUUACCAAGGCGACGAUGCGUAGCCGACCUGAGAGGGUGAUCAGCCACACUGGAACUGAGACACGGUCCAGACUCCUACGGGAGGCAGCAGUAGGGAAUCUUCCGCAAUGGGCGAAAGCCUGACGGAGCAACGCCGCGUGAGUGAUGAAGGUCUUCGGAUCGUAAAACUCUGUUAUUAGGGAAGAACAAAUGUGUAAGUAACUAUGCACGUCUUGACGGUACCUAAUCAGAAAGCCACGGCUAACUACGUG